rnacentral:rRNA from 1 species
ACGGAAGGCAGCAGUGAGGAAUAUUGGUCAAUGGGCGGAAGCCUGAACCAGCCAAGUCGCGUGAAGGAAGACGGUAUUAUGUAUUGUAAACUUCUUUAGACGCAGAGAAAUAAGGGGCUUGCGAGCUCUGAUGCUAGUAUGCGUAGAAUAAGGAUCGGCUAACUCCGUGCCAGCGGCCGCGGUAAUACGGAGGAUCCGAGCGUUAUCCGGAUUUAUUGGGUUUAAAGGGUGCGCAGGCGGCGCUUUAAGUCAGUGGUCAAAUCGUGAGGCUCAACCUCAUCCCGCCAUUGAUACUGGAGCGCUUGAUUGCGGUUGAGGUAGGCGGAAUUCGUCGUGUAGCGGUGAAAUGCAUAGAUAUGACGAAGAACCCCGAUUGCGUAGGCAGCUUACCAAGCCGUAAAUGACGCUCAUGCACGAAAGUGCGGGGAUCGAACAGGAUUAGAUACCCUGGUA